GCCUGAUGCUUGGUCAGGCCAGGAUGCUAGCUAACACUAUCUAUCACUAGUGAGCCAACUCUCAAUCCAAAAUGGCGACGACAAAAAGACGGAAGUCGUAGCAGGGAGCCGUGAGCACAGGAUCAAUGGCCAAAAUGGUUCCAUCACUUCCAGUACAACAGUGCGAGGUCCAGUCAUCACCAGCCUGGUCAUGGUCCUGUAGUCCAGGUCGAGAACACACUGACCGUUCACCUGGCACACAAACUGCUGCACCUACACACGAUUACAUCAGCAGCUGCUGCUGGACUUCCAGGGUCAACGGCCUGCACAUAACAGGGAGCCCGGCCUCUGACGACAAAACCCCAGCCCAGGGGGUCUCCUAUCACCUGUGAUCAUGGUGAGAGAGACGUCACACAUUCAGGAGAAGUGGAAUCUGUAUAGUUUGGACUUAAUCAGAUACAACUUCAUUUGUUCAGAUGGAUGAACCUUAAAGAUAGAGGCUUUAAGGUUCAAGGGUCACUUUAUUGCCAUUCACACCACACACUAAAAAUGACUUUGCAUCCAGCUCACAAAUGCAAUUGCUAGGGUUUGCUGAGUAUGUAUUAAAGCUGUUUUAAAAGUAAAGAUGUAGUUGUAAUAUAAGUUAUAGAGUGAGUAGAUAACUGAGGUACAAAC